rnacentral:lncRNA from 1 species
AGCCAGUGCCCUACACUAUACAAGAUGCCACUGUAGGGACAGGGAUGACCUCUAGCAAGGUGACCCUCAGUGGGCCAGAGGGGGCUUCUGAAGAGAAUUUCUCUAGCUUCUUGGUGUUUCCUGCCUGCUACUUUCAAACAAGGGUCCCAUUUUUAAUGUUUUCCCAGUAAUACCUUAUGAAUGUUAUUGCAAAGGUAAAGGAAAUUAUAUUUUUGCUCUUAUUGUUGUUCACUCUACUCCCAUUUAGCAAUUAACAUUGAAAGCGGGCUAAAUCAACACCACAGGCCCCGUGAUCAAUAUAUGUGAUGAGGACAUUACAUCCUGGUGUUGUUGCCCCAAGUCUUGACGUGAAUCUGACCACAAGGACAAUUCGGACAACCUGAAAUGGUGACGCAUUCUACAAAAUAAACAUCAAUGUCAUGAAAGACAAAGACUCAAGAUUUUCUGCUUAAUGGAGACUAAAGAGAUGCGACAACAGAAUGCCAGGCAUGAUCUUGGAUAUUCUUUUGGCUCAAACAGUCUUAGGACAAUUGAAAAAACGUGAAUGAGGUCUGUAGCUAAUAGAAUUGUGUCAAUGCC